rnacentral:lncRNA from 1 species
GCAAUGGUGUAUCACCCUCAUUGUUCACCGCGUUCACACUGGCACCAUGGUUAAGCAACAGUUGUAAGGUAUCAACAUGACUCCAAGAUGCAUUUUUGUGCAAUGGUGUAUCACCCUCAUUGUUCACCGCGUUCACACUGGCACCAUGGUUAAGCAACAGUUGUAAGGUAUCAACAUGACUCCAAGAUGCAUUUUUGUGCAAUGGUGUAUCACCCUCAUUGUUCACCGCGUUCACACUGGCACCAUGGUUAAGCAACAGUUGUAAGGUAUCAACAUGACUCCAAGAUGCAUUUUUGUGCAAUGGUGUAUCACCCUCAUUGUUCACCGCGUUCACACUGGCACCAUGGUUAAGCAACAGUUGUAAGGUAUCAACAUGACUCCAAGAUGCAUUUUUGUGCAAUGGUGUAUCACCCUCAUUGUUCACCGCGUUCACACUGGCACCAUGGUUAAGCAACAGUUGUAAGGUAUCAACAUGACUCCAAGAUGCAUUUUUGUGCAAUGGUGUAUCACCCUCAUUGUUCACCGCGUUCACACUGGCACCAUGGUUAAGCAACAGUUGUAAGGUAUCAACAUGACUCCAAGAUGCAUUUUUGUGCAAUGGUGUAUCACCCUCAUUGUUCACCGCGUUCACACUGGCACCAUGGUUAAGCAACAGUUGUAAGGUAUCAACACGACCGUAAAAUGCAGCUAUGUGGAAUGGUGUAUCACCCUCAUUGUUCACCGUGUUCACACUGGCACCAUGGUUAAGCAACAGUUGUAAGAUAUCAACAUGACCCCAAGAUGCAGCGUAGUGCAAUGGUGUAUCACCCUCAUUGUUCACCGCGUUCACACUGGCACCAUGGUUAAGCAACAGUUGUAAGAUAUCAACAUGACCGUAAGAUGCAGCGUCGUGCAAUGGUGUAUCACCAUCAUUGUUCACCGCGUUCACACUGGCACCAUGGUUAAGCAACAGUUGUAAGAUAUCAACAUGACGAGAUGCAGCUUGGUCCAAUGGUGUAUCACCAUCAUUGUUCACCGCGUUCACACUGGCACCAUGGUUAAGGAACAGUUGUAAGAUAUCAACAUGACCCGCACGUACAGCGUUGUGCAAUGGAGUGUUGCCCAAGGGACCGCGACGUUGAUUCAACCUGUAGGUGAUAUCCGGGUCCUUUUGCAAGAUCUCUUGUACUUUGUGAAGAUCCCCUUCUCUACAUGCAUUGUGUAGACUUUCAUCUUGUCUUCUUGACAUUCCUUCGUUCAAACGUUGCUAGAAUUUAUUACCAUCGUAAAAUUUGCAGAAGCAUCCUCUGAAAAGUUCCU